GAUGAACGCUGACAGAAUGCUUAACACAUGCAAGUCAACUGUGGCGGACGGGUGAGUAACGCGUAAAGAACUUGCCUCACGGAUAGGGACAACAUUUGGAAACGGAUGAUAAUACCUGAUACUGUGAGAGAGCUUUGCGUCCCAUUAGCUAGUUGGAGAGGUAACGGCUCACCAAGGCGAGGAUGGGUAGCCGGCCUGAGAGGGUGAUAGGCCACAAGGGGACAGAGACACGGCCCGUACGCCUACGGGAGGCAGCAGUGGGGAAUAUUGGACAAUGGACCAAAGUCUGAUGCAGCAAUUCUGGUUGUAAGAUGAUGUUUUCGGAAUGUAAAGUGCUUUCAGUUGGGAAGCGGUACCAACAGAAGAAGUGACGGCUAAAUACGUGCCAGCAGCCGCGGUAAUUC
rnacentral:rRNA from 1 species